AGUGAACGCUGGCGGCAGGCCUAACACAUGCAAGUCGAGCGGCAGCGCGUCCGACCACCCUCGGGUGGUCGGAUGGCGGCGAGCGGCGGACGGGUGAGGAAUGCAUCGGAAUCUGCCUCGUUGUGGGGGAUAACGUAGGGAAACUUACGCUAAUACCGCAUACGACCUACGGGUGAAAGUGGGGGACCUUCGGGCCUCACGCGAUGAGAUGAGCCGAUGCCGGAUUGGCUAGUUGGCGGGGUAAAGGCCCACCAAGGCGACGAUCCGUAGCUGGUCUGAGAGGAUGAUCAGCCACACUGGAACUGAGACACGGUCCAGACUCCUACGGGAGGCAGCAGUGGGGAAUAUUGGACAAUGGGGGCAACCCUGAUCCAGCCAUGCCGCGUGUGUGAAGAAGGCC
rnacentral:rRNA from 1 species